CCUACGGGUGGCAGCAGUCGAGAAUCAUUCACAAUGGGGGAAACCCUGAUGGUGCGACGCCGCGUGGGGGAAUGAAGGUCUUCGGAUUGUAAACCCCUGUCAUGUGGGAGCAAAUUAAAAAGAUAGUACCACAAGAGGAAGAGACGGCUAACUCUGUGCCAGCAGCCGCGGUAAUACAGAGGUCUCAAGCGUUGUUCGGAAUCACUGUGCGUAAGGCGUGCGUAGGCUGUUUCUUAAGUCGUGUGUGAAAGUCGCGGGCUCAACCCGCGGACGGCACAUGAUACUGCGAGACUAGAGUAAUGGAGGGGGAACCGGAAUGCUCGGUGUAGCAGUGAAAUGCGUAGAUAUCGAGAGGAACACUCGUGGCGAAGGCGGGUUCCUGGACAUUAACUGACGCUGAGGCACGAAGGCCAGGGGAGCGAAAGGGAUUAGAUACCCGUGUAGUC
rnacentral:rRNA from 1 species